rnacentral:rRNA from 1 species
UACGAAGGAUGCAAGCGUUAUCCGGAUUCAUUGGGUUUAAAGGGAGCGUAGGUGGCCUUAUAAGUCAGUGGUGAAAUCUCUGGGCUUAACCCAGAAAUUGCCAUUGAUACUGUAGGGCUUGAGUAUAGAUGCCGUUGGCGGAAUAUGACAUGUAGUGGUGAAAUACAUAGAGAUGUCAUAGAACACCGAUUGCGAAGGCAGCUAACGAAACUAUAACUGACACUGAGGCUCGAAAGUGUGGGGAUCAAACAGG